UCGUCAGCUCGUGUCGUGAGAUGUUGGGUUAAGUCCCGCAACGAGCGCAACCCUUGCCUUUAGUUGCCAGCAUUAAGUUGGGCACUCUAGAGGGACUGCCAGGGAUAACCUGGAGGAAGGUGGGGAUGACGUCAAAUCAUCAUGCCCCUUAUGCUUAGGGCUACACACGUGCUACAAUGGGUGGUACAGAGGGCAGCCAAGCCGUGAGGCGGAGCUAAUCCCUUAAAGCCAUUCUCAGUUCGGAUUGUAGGCUGAAACUCGCCUACAUGAAGCUGGAGUUACUAGUAAUCGCAGAUCAGAAUGCUGCGGUGAAUGCGUUCCCGGGUCUUGUACACACCGCCCGUCACACCAUGGGAGUUGGGGGCGCCCGAAGCCGGUUAGCUAACCUUUUGGAAGCGGCCGUCGAAGGUGAAACCAAUAACUGGGGUGAAGUCGUAACAAGGUAACCGUA
rnacentral:rRNA from 1 species